GUUAUUACUUUGAAAGACUCAAGCUAUAAAGAUCUACUCAAUAUGGACAAGUUGUUCUUCAUCCGAUGCUAUGGAAUUCGGCUUUGGUCGUCGUGGAUCUUUAAUGUCGCUUGCGUACGGUUUUUUCGCUUUUGCUUCUUCGUAGUUUCAUAAAAAGAGUAGUAUAUUGUCAAUGUUGUUCAGCAGUAGCUUCUACUGUGACAUCCACCUGAAAAGCUAGAAUUGUCAAUGUUAAUCACAAAGAUACAAAAAAAUAGAAAAGGAUAACUCAUCUGUUUUAGCAAACAGAUUCUCUUUCUACUGCAACAUAUUGAUCAUCUAUUGGGAUAAAUUAAAACAUGAGAAAGAGUUGUAUUAUAAUUUUUAAUGGAUAAACCAUCUGUUGUAACAUAUGACUCAUUUGUUUGGAAAAACUGAAACAAUAAGAAGUCUUGAUUUAAUUUGUCCUAACAGAUGACCCAUCUGUUGCAGCAUAUAGGUCAUCUGUUCGUAUAAAUAAAAAUGGUACGUAGAGCUGUUUGAUUCGCUAAAAUAGACAUGACAUAUAUUAUAAUAGAUACUGCAUCUGAUGCAACAGGUUAGUCAGCAGUUGCAAUAGAUGUAUAUAUCUAUUUGAUAAUUUUCAGUAGAUGUGUCAACUGUUGAAAUAGAUAUAUGUCUAUUUGUUAAUUGGAACAAAUGUUAUAUAUUCACAUUCUUCAGCUCAUGUUGCUCUUCUGUGGGCCUUGUACAUUGCUCAAUUGUGCAACACAAAGACAUCAGAGUUAUAAUUUCGCUUUUUGGGAUGGUUGAUAAUGCCUUGGAAAUUACUUUCCUUCUUCUCUUAGCCUUAAUCUUAAUGGAGUGGAUAAAUAUGAAAUCCUCUUUGAUAGAAUAACACCCCUAUUAGAUGCCAAUUCCUUUAUAGAAGUAGUUAAUACAUUAAUAACAUUAAUCAGUAUAUCAUGUUUCGCCUUGCAGUCUUGACAUUUACAUGCAGAACAUUCGCUGGGAGGGGCAAAAUCUGCAUAACCAAUAUGAUCAUACUUUAAUGGUUUAUUUUAAAAACUGUAAGAGGAGCAUCAUUAGCCCCAAUAACAACACCACUACAACCACCAACAGUUCCACUACCACUACCAUUAUCAACAACUACAAGCCCACCCUUCAAAAUUAUUUUUCUUAGGAUGGUUAUUGCUUCAAACAAUUCCAUUUUUAUUCUGUCAAUGACUUUAAAGUCUGAUAAAGGUUGCACAGAUCAUAAAGUAAAGAAAAAUAGCAUCUUCAACUCUCUAUUAGUCGAAACAAGUGAAGAAUGCACAAUCUAACAUAAAUCAGUACAUAUAUUAGAAUGAUGAUUAGAUCAUUCAAAAAAAUCAUUAACUAAAACAAAAACUUAAUUAGAAUUAGACUUACUGCAUCCUCCAGGGGGUUGAAGAGAUAGAUUUUUUUUGCAUUUUUAUCAAUUUUGGCUGACAACCAUCUCAGGAUUCAUGGACAGGAAACUUCUUCUUGAUAGUUCACUUGUUGUCUCAAUAAGGAGUGACUUCAAACGCACAAUCCUAUAAAAUAAUGCCAAUAAAUCAAAAGCAUUAUUAAAUAAAAAAAUAAAUCAUAUUAUAAAAAAAGAAAUAUUUACCAUGAAUGCUCAUGGAAAGUCAUAUAAGUUGACUAUCUUUGGAGUUAAUGGAGACAACAAAUAUUUGACAAUCAUUUUAAAGCUUUCAUAACCCCAAGGAUAGCUGUUAAAUGACUCAAGAUCCACGGAGAGCUUUAUUAAAUCAAGUGGUAUGUUGUUGUUAAUGUCUUUCGCGCAAAGAAUAUUAUGUACAAACCAAACAAAGCACAAUGAUUGCUUGUACUUCUUUGAAAGUCUUUUACCUUUCAACGCUUCUAUCAAAUUUUUAUUUUUGAAGCUUGGACCAAUAAGGGAUACCAAGUCUUCACGAUCACUCGACUUGCAUUUGCCUUUUAUGGGUGUGUGGGGUGUUUUUUUGGGGUUAGAAUGGGUAUAACUUGAGAAGAAGAAAGAGGAUAACAUUUUAGUCCAGUAACUAUGGAAAACUCCUUCCAAAUAAAACAAAUAUGCAUGCCACAGUAAUUUAUCCACACCUCAUCCAUCUUAUCUUUGUUUUCAUACAUAAACCUACGCUUAAGAAGAUCAUAUACCAUUUUUAUCCGGAAACGAGCAUUGUUAUCCUCUGGCAAAUUAAGAUAUUGCCUAAAGCAGCUGUCCCUGAAAUAAGUAUCCAAAUUUUAUUCUCAAAGUAUUUUUCUGAAGACGUCGAAAGAUUUUUCCAUGACUGACUUAACCACGAAAUCACCCAUUAAAUCUGUGGCACCAUCGCAUUGCAUUCUCACAAGAUAACUAUCAAUGCUGAAGGUUUUGACCAACUCUUUGGUGGAAGAAAUAUUAGAGUUUGGAUCAUCUCUUUUGAAACAUUCCUCCUCCCCAUAUUCAUCAUCUUCUGCUCCUAAUUGAGAUAACACUUGUAAAGCAAGUUCAUAGAUUCAUGGAUGUAGCCUAGCUGCUUCACUUGUUUUUUUACUUGGACUUGAUUCAUUUUUUUUCCUUUGGGAGUCAUAUUAUCUAAAACUAACAGGAACAUAAAAUAGAUUAUAAUGGAUUAAUGCAUCGUUAAAAGGAUAACGGUAAAUCUAAUAUGCACAACAGUAAAAUAAUAGUUCCAAAAGAUAACACAUCUAGUGCACCAGGUAGGUUAUCUGCUGCUACAUAUAACUAACCUGUUGCAACGAAUGAGUAAUCUAUUGCAAAAAUAAAAGUAGAUCACUUAUCUGUUGAAAUAAAUGAAUGGUUUGUGCAAUAGAUCACAUAUUUUUUGCAAUAUACGAGUGAUCUGUUGCAACAUAUAACUAACCUGUUGCAAUAGAUGAGUAAUCUAUUAAACAAAAAUAGAUCACACAUCUAUUGAAACAGAUGUCUGAUCUGUGAAACAUAUCAUAAAUUUAUUGCAAUAUAUGAGUGAUUUGUUCGAAUAGUUAUUAAUAGUCAAUAUUGAUUAGAUUUUUUCCAACAUAAGGGUCAUCUAUAGCGAAAGAUGAAUGAUCAGUUUGAAAAAUCAAGUCUUAGAGAUGUGCUAUUGGAAUAGUUGAUAGAAUUUUAUCCAACAGAAGGUUCAUUUAUUGCAUUUAAUGGUUAAUCUGUUGCAUUAGAUUUUUAUUUUGAUGGUUCCUCUGUUGCAUCAAAUGGUAAAUCUAUUGCAUCAGAUGGCUAAUCUGUUGCAUCGAAUUUUUAAUUGGAUGGUUCCUCUGUUGUAUCCGAUGUUAAGUUCGUUGCAUCAGAUUUUUAAUUUGAUAUUAAAUUUGUUGCAUCAGAUAGUUAAUCUGUUGCAUCAGAUUUUUUAUCUGAUGAUUAAUCUGUUGCGUUAGGUUUUUUAUCCGAUGGUUCCUCUAUUGCAUCUACGGUAAAUCUGUUGCAUCAGAUGGUUAAUCUGUUGUAUCAGAUGAUGAAUCUAUUGUAAAAAAAAAAUAGUAGCAUGAUUUUGUUCAAUAGAACAACAACAAUAUCACCCUUUUUACCAAGAACAAGAAUAAAUCAACCCAUCAACGGGCGCAACACCAAAAAUACCAACAUCAUUGUUUUGUUUGUACAAAUACAAACAACAAAAAUCAAACUUUAAAAAAUACAAAAAAUCAUAUUUCACUCCGAAAAGAAAAGAAAUACCAUAAAUUAGGGUUUUAUUCAGACCGCAUUUCAAAUUAAAGCAUCAAAUGUUGAAAUUGUUCACCAAUACUAGAAGAGAAGUUGACUCAAGAUCCUCUUUUUCUUCAAAACUAGAAAGACCAUAAUUUUUUACUUGUGAAAGAAGAAAAGGGACGAUGAAGAACUUGAAGCUAUUUUGGUCGGAGAGCAAGGCUGUCACGUCGAUUGAUGAUUGAAAGUAGAAAAGGAACUCGAAGUCCAACUAUUUAUCGCUGGAGGUUGGAGUCACCGGGGAUUGAAAGGAGAAAUUUGCAGAACUAUUAGUUGGGAGAAACUGUAAAGACAGAGAGAGGAGAGGGGUGUGGGUUGAUUUGUAUUUUUGAAAAGAUUAGAAAGUUUUGAAAAUAUUAAUCAAGUCCACAAUUAACUUAAUAAAAUUUUCUAAUUAUGUUUGACCCUUUAAGUCGGUCAAUAUUACUAAUCCUUCAUUCAAGAAUUAAAUGACACAUUUUCUUCAAUUUUCUCAUAAAACUAGGAAUAUAAGAAUCGAAAGUGGAUAAAAUAAAUAUUACGAUAAAAUAUAAAAUGUAUACGCAUAGUUAAAAUCUAGUAUGAAUAAUAAGUAAAUGAAUAACUGUAAUAACGAUAAAAUAUACGUUAAGUAUAAUAAUUUGUAUAUAUACCUCGUGAUUUUCACAAUCCUUUAAAAUCUGGAGAAAACUCAAAGAAAAUGUCGAAAAAAAUAAAAGGUAAUAUAGAACAUUGAGAUUAUUUAAUUCAUUGCAAUAAAUUGAGGUUGGUGACCUUUAAAAAUCUGAAUUUUUAGCUACUUACUCUCCUAUCGAGUUUAUAUUCAUUUUUUAUAGCAAAACAUUGAGGUUGCGAUGUUCAUUUUAGAGAAAGUAUCUUUAAUAAAUAUAAGCUUUAACAAAAUGCUAGAUGCCCACCUAAAGACUUUUACCAUGUAUUUUUUUUACAGUCGAAAAGGUUAAAAACAUACCCUCAAGCUCAAAAAAAGGACUGCAUUCUUGAUAAUGGUAUAUGUUAGAUAUGUUAGUUAUGUUAGAUAUGUUAGUUAGAUAUGUUUGAAUUUAUAUAUGUUUAAAGAAUUAAUUAUAAGAAGACCAUUUAAAAAUAGAGAAGCUUUUAGAAAAAUUAAAGAAUCUUUAAUUAGUAAUUAUUCAGAAUAUAUAAGUCUAAAUAAAACAAAAGAAAACACACAAAGAUUAGCCUACCUAAUUACCUUAAUAUCUAGUAUUGAAGCAAAAUUAAUAAUCCAUUUAAAAUCUAGAAGAAUGAGACACAUACCACCUAAUUAUGAUAAAAUUAGAUUUAGAUAUCCACCAAGAUAUUAUAAAUAUAAUUUAAAAUGAAUAAAAUACAACAAUAUAAAGAAUUAAGACAAAUUAUCUCUGAAAAACGUAAAGAAUUAAAAAUAAGAAUAGAAAGACUACAUUAUAAUAUAUUUGCCGGAGUUAGUAAAAAUUCAAUAGAUACACAAAAAGAUGAAAUAUCAAAAUUAGAAUCACAAAUAGAUAGUUUAGAAUAUGUAUAUCAACAUGACCUAUUCACAAUAAAAUGAAUAAAGAAGAAUUUAUAAUAGAUGAAAAAAUAUAUGAAAACUACGAAGGAUCAAAAAUAAAAAUAGUAUUUUCUAAUCUAGGACGAAGAUAUAAGAAAAUAGGUGAACAUUUAUAUCUAAUGUUAGAAAAAGAAGAAUUAAAAUUAGAAGAUAAAUUAACAGCAAUGGUAAGAAUAGAAAAAGAAAAUGAAGAGAUAGAUAGGAAAAAAGAAAUAGAAAAAAUAAAACAACAAACUACGGAAGAAAUACGAAAAAUAGAAGAAACCAAAAAUAGUAGAAUUGCUGAAUUAGAAAAAGAAUUACAAAUGUUAAAAGAACUGUAUGAACAAAGACAAAAAGAAAAAGAAGAAAAAGAUAGAGAACAGAAAUUACUAAAUGAGAUAAAUCAAUUUAAGGAAAAAUUAGAAAUAAAAAAUGAAGAAUUAGAAAUAAAUAAUAUAGAUAUUGAAGAGACAGAUAAUUAUGAGUCCGAAGAUAGUGAAACAUACACAGAAAUAUUAACAAAUACAAAAAAUUUAGAAAUCAAUGAAGAACAAAAAAUUUAUGAGGAAAACUUAGAAAAUACCCACACAGAAAUAAAUACUCUUGAUAAAAAAGAAAAUGAAAAUAUAAUACCUAAAACAACAGAAAUAAGAAAACCUAUAUAUUAUAAGAAUAAGUUUAAAAAAUAUAAUGAAUAUGAUAAAUGGAUACCAAAACAAAUAGUGAAUAAAAAUUAUAACUUUUUAGAUCUAGACUGUGUAAUAGAUACAGAAAAAACAAUACAAUUAUGGAUAGGAUAUAUGACAAAACAAUUAUUAGAUAAUAAUAUAAAUAUAACAGAUGCACCGGAAUAUAUAGAAAAAACACUAAUAGGAUCAGUAAAACUAUGGUUUGCAAAUCUAACCGAAAAUAGCAAAAAAGUAUUAAGAACUAAUAAACCUAUAGAAGGAACAUCAUCGACAACAACUAAACUAACACCUAUAGAAUUAUUAAAAAAAUAUGAAACAGCUAUAAAAGAUGAAUUUGGUAGUACGACAACAAUCGAAGAAGAACAAAAUGAAGAAAAAGAUACAAAUAGAAAUUUAAUGUUAAAAUUAGCAAUAUGUAAUAUGUGUUAUAUAGAUGAAUAUACUUGCGCAUUUAAAGAAUAUUAUUACAAAGGAGCAUAUAGUAUAGAAGAAAGUAAAGAAAUAAGAAAAUUAUAUUUUAAUAAAUUACCCGAGCCAUUUAGUUCGAAAAUAAUAAAAAGUUGGGAAGAAGCAAAAAUAGUAGAUACGUUAGGAGCAAGAAUAAAAUAUUUACAACAAUGGUAUAGAAACUUAUGUGAAAAAUAUAGAGAAGAAUUAAAAAUGGAAAAAACAUUAAUAAGAAAUUUAGCUUGUUGCAAAAAUAAAAUAGCACCCCAAUUUGGAUGCGAAGAAAGAUAUUAUAAGAAAAGAAAAAGACAUAAGAAAUAUAAGAAAUAUAAAAAAUCAAAAUAUAAAUAUAAAAAACCAAGAAAAAGAUACUAUGUAAAAAAUUAUAAACAUAAAAGACCAUAUAGAAAAAAGAAAUCUAUAAAAGAAUGUACUUGUUAUAAUUGUGGAAAGUUAGGACAUUUAGCUAGAGAUUGUAAAUUACCUAAAAAUCCAAAAAAUAAACAAAUAUCAGAAAUAAAAAUAGAAAAUACCGAAUACAUGCAGAUAGAUUAUAUAGAUUAUGAAUUAGAAAGUGAAGAUAGUAUAUAUGAAAUUUCAGAAAAUGAAACAGAUAAUGAACUAGAUAGCGAAAUAGAUGAAUCAAAUGACUGAAGAAGAUAUAAAAAUAAUAACAAAGGAAGAAUAUUUAAAUGAUGAAGGAACGGAACAAAAAAUAAUAUUUGACAGUAAUAUAUUUGAUGAAAUAAAAGGAAAAGAAUUAGAUUUAAGUGUAGAAAAAAUAUUUAAAAUACCAACAAUAAAAAAUAUUUUUACUAGGAAAAAAGAUGAAUAUUAUGUAGUAUGUCAAAAAGAACAUGUAAUAGACUGCAGAUAUGCAAAAGGAAAAGCUAGUAUACCACUGGUAACAAAAAGAAUAAUUAAUAAAGAAAUAAAUGAUAUAAAAAGUAAAGGAGAUCCAAUAAAAUAUGUACACCUUGGAGGUACAGAGAUAUUAAUAAAAGCAUGUUUUAGAGAAGGAAUAGAUACACCAAUAGAAUUAUAUUUAGCAGACGAUAGAAUUAUAAAACCUAUAGAAAAAAGCAUAAUAACUGCCGUAAAAGGAAAUCUAAUAUACCAAAAAUUUAAAUUUAUAAUAAGUGCAAAUUAUUCAGUAGCAGUAACAGAUAGGAAUAUAGAUAAAUCAUUAGUAUUAUAUUGGAAAAUAUCAGGAAUAGAAUUAACCCCAGGAAGUAAAAUAUUUACAGCAAGAUGUAAAAAUCUAUAUGUAUUAACAACAAAACAUAAAAUAACAGGAAAAAAUAAGAUUAACAAAAUACAAAUAGAAAGCCCAUUCGAACAAAUAGUAAAAACAAUAGAUUAUAAUGAUUAUACCUAUAGAGACAUAGAUACAGAAGAAAAUUUAGAAAUAGUAAAUGAUAGAAUAAGUACAACGAAAAGAAUAGCUAAUGAAAAGCCAGAAUCAUCAAGCUCAUCAAAAAGAACAAGUUAUGAAACAAAUUCAAUAAGUAAUUUAAACCAAUAUUACAUAACGGGAAAAAUAAAUGAAAAAGAAUAUUUAAUACUUUUGAAUACAGGACAAGAAGAAAAUCAUAUAGCAAAAUAUCUAGUAAAAAAUGAAGAAAUAAAAACCGACAAUAAUAUAUGCCCAGACUUACCAAGAAGUUUAAUAAAUAAUAAAAAUAUAGCAGAAAAAGAAAUAAUGUUAGGAGUUAGAAAAAUAAAAAUAGAAUUCGAAGUAAAGGAAGAAAUGCAAAAAGCAGAUAUAAUAUUAGGAAUAAAAUGGUUAGAACAAGUAAAACCAUAUAAUAUAGAACAUACACAAUUAACCUUAACAUAUAACCAAGAAAAGUUAUUCUUAAAAAGAGCCUUAACAUGAAAUGAAGAUACAUGUAUUAAUGAAGAUAGUAGUAGAAGGAUAUUACAGUAGAUAUUAUACGCCUAUGAUAGAUACAGGAGCAGAAGCUAAUUUAUGUAGAUAUAAUUGCUUACCAGAAAGCAAAUGGGAUAAACUAAAAACACCAAUAAUAGUUAAAGGAUUUAAUAAUGAAGGAAGCUUAAUUACUUAUAAAGCUAGGAAUGUAAAAAUACAAGUAUGGGAUAAGAUAUUAACAAUAGAAGAAAUUUAUAAUUAUGAAUUAACAUCAAAAGAUAUACUUUUAGGAAUGCCAUUUUUAGAUAAAUUAUACCCACAUAUAAUAACCAAAACAGACUGGUGGUUUACAACACCAUGCAAACAAAAAGUAAGAGCAAAAAGAGUUAAUAAUAAAAUAAGAAAGAAAACUGAUUGGAUAAAAGGAAGUGAAAAAAUUACACAAAAGUUAGAAAAUAUAAACAAUACUGAAGAUACAGUAGAACUAGUAGUAUUUUCGAUAAAUAAAACAGAAAUAACUAUAUUUUCAAUAAAUAAAAUAGAAAUAAUUCAGAAAAAAUUAGAACAAUUAUAUAGUGAAGAUCCAUUAAAAGGAUGGGAAAAACAUAAAACUACUAUAAAAAUUGAAUUAAUAGAUAAAAAUAGCAUAAUAACCCAGAAACCAUUAACAUAUAAUUUUGACGAUUUAAAAGAAUUUAAAAUGCAUAUAGAUGAAUUAUUAGAAAAACAAUAUAUACAAAAAAGUAAUAGUAAACAUAAUAGUCCAGCAUUUAUAGUAAAUAAACAUAGUGAACAAAAAAGAGGAAAAAGUAGGAUGGUUAUUGACUAUAGAAAUUUAAAUGCAAAAACUAUAACAUAUAAUUAUCCGAUACCAAAUAAGAUAUUAAAAAUAAGACAAAUCCAAGGAUAUAAUUAUUUUAGCAAAUUUGAUUGUAAAUCAGGAUUUUACCACCUAAAGCUAGAAGAAGAAUCUAAAGAAUUAACCGCAUUUACGGUACCACAAGGAUUUUAUGAAUGGAACGUAUUACCAUUUGGAUAUAAAAAUGCACCAGGUAGAUAUCAACAUUUUAUGGAUAGUUAUUUUAAACAAUUAUCUAAUUGUAUAGUAUACAUAGAUGAUAUAUUAUUAUAUACAAAAACUAAAGAAGAACAUUUAAAAUUAUUAGGACAGUUUACAGAUAUAAUAGAAAAAUCGGGAAUAAGUCUAAGUGAAAAGAAAGCUGAAAUUAUGAAAAAUCAGAUAGAAUUUUUAGGAAUACAAAUAGAUAAAAGUGGAGUAAAAAUGCAACAACAUAUAGUACAAAAAAUAAUAAAUUAGAAAGAAGAAUUAGAUACAAAAAAGAAAUUACAAUCAUUUUUAGGAUUAGUAAACCAAGUAAGAGAAUAUAUUCUAAAAUUAGCAGAAACUUUAAAACCACUACCGAAAAAAUUUAAAAAGGAUGUAGAAUAUAACUAUAAUGAAGAAGAUAAAAAAGAGUAGAAACUUUAAAACUACGACAGAAAAUUUUUUUUUCUUAUAUUCUACAUCUUUUUUAAUUUUUUCUGUAGUGGUCUUCUCAUUUUUACACUUUUGACAUUAAAAAAUAUGCACUUUUGACAUUAAAAAUAUGCAUGUUCAAAAAACAGCUUGUUUUCCUCUUUUAAAAAUCUACAUUUUAACUCUUGAAAAGUGAUAUAUUUGGACCCCAAAUUUGUAACUUUUAGCUACUGUAGAAAGCCGCAUUUCGUGCGUAAAAUCCGCACUUUAAAUCCUAAACGAUCGCAUUUUAAAGCCUAAAAAUUGUAUUCUCUUUUACCCUAAAAAUCUACGCAAUUAUAUUAGAAAACUGCAAUUUUUUCACCAUUAAAGAAAUAUAUUUUAUACCAAAAACUGACAUCUUAGAUUGGAAUAGCUAUUGGAACCAAUCAUAGAUGAUUAAAGCUAAGCAAAAUCAAACAAAUAUAAAGUUAGCUCAACAUUGAUCGAUCCAUACCAAAUAAUCAUUCAGAUAACUACAAAGUUAGUAGAAUAUAUAACAAUAAUAAGAAAUGCAAAUAAGGCAGAGGACUAGAUGCGGUCAAUCCCUUUAAAGAAGGGAUCAAUACCUAACGAUGUACACCCUGAAGGUGGACAAUCCUGUAAUGGUUGACCCAAUGCUUAGGUCAAAACGAGUUUCAAAUGAAACUCCAACUCCCGAGUGCACAUGUAAAAAAGAAGGAUAAGGAUUAGUAACGAUUUAAUAAAGAUAUAUAUAUAUAUACACACACGUGAGGGAGAGCUUGAGUCUUUUGAAUACAAGCACUUCAUGCAGAUAGCAUAUCAAGAUCCAAAUGAAUAUUUAAUCCGUGAUUCCAUGGACCGAGAAUAAAAGCACACAGGAAAAGCAAGACUAGAAUCCGUAAGUCAUCCUUAGAUCACAGAUAUAGAGCUAAUAACAAAACUUGCAGCUAAACAUGAUUUUACAAAUUCCAUGAAAGUAUAUUCAUACACUUCUAUAAUGACAACAAAGUUGUAACUUGAUAACAAAAAAUAUACCAAACAGUAAACAAACCACUAACAUAUACUACAAUUAUAUUUUUUCAAGUCUAGACGGACAAAUAUUCAUAUGUGAGUUCAUAUAAACAUGCUAAACCUGAAAGAAGAAAAUAAUUAUGAGAAGGAAACAUAAAUUGUACUUUAUUCCCUAUAUCCAAAUAUGAUGUGAAACACAUUCAAAACCAACCUUAAUCUGUGGAAAAUGGACAACCGUAUUAAGCAAGACAAGCAACUAUCUACACAUGUUCGAGAAUUAAAUACAAUAAAGUAUAAAACUAUUGUGAUGCAACCAAGAAUUGUAAGGUUUUAAGCCCUUUGGAGCUCUUUUUCACAUGGAAUUAAAAUCGCCAGCAACUUAUGAAUACACAAAGCAAAUUAGUGUAGAGCCAAGCCAUCGUUACCACGUUAAAGCAUCUAAACCGACAUCAAAUGACCCCAAACAACUCACCAAGAAUAUGUCAUGAAACACAAAGCUUCAUCGAGUUUAUUCCAUAGUCAAUUAGACUAUCACCAAAUAUAUCAAAUGGUACGAAAACUACUGCAUCGAGUUCUUAUCCACAACUAGCGAAACAAAAUAUCUAAUGUAAUUUGAAAACUCAAACUUCAAACCAUUAACAUUUACAAAAAUACACCACUUAACAUGAACAAAGCAAACAUACCAACAGUAUUUACUUCACAUUCAUAUCUAGGAUCAACCAACGAACUCAAACUAUCAACAAAUUCCAAAACUAAAUACCAUGUAAUUAGACGGGAUAGAAUUUCAC
rnacentral:lncRNA from 1 species